AGCUCAGCUCAUCCUCAGCCCUGCUUGGGAUGUUGUGCCAGCUCACCAGGCACGGCUCAGCUCGAGUCAGCACGGCUUAGCUCCGCUCAGCCUGCUCAGGACAUUAUGCCACCUAAGUAGGCACAAUUCAGCUUGGUCCAGCUUGGCGCAGCUCAGCUCAGCACAGCACAGCUCAGCACAGAUGAGGACUUGCCGAUGUGCCAGAUAGGCACAGUUCAGCUUGGCAUGGCUUGACUUGGCUCAGCUGAGCAGAGCUCAGGAUAUUUUGCCACCUCAGUAGGUGUGAUUCAACUCGACACAGCUCAGCUCAGCUCAGUUUGGGACAUUGUGCCACUUAGGUGGGUUCAAUUCAGCUCACCUCAGUUCAGCAUGGCUCAGGACAGUUUGGGACAUGACUCUACCUAGGUAGACACAGCUCAGUUCUACGUGACCUAGCAGAGCUUGGGACAUCAUGCUGUGUACAGCAUGGCUCCACUCCUUUGGCACAGCUCAGGACAUGAUACCGUCCAGGUAGGCACAUCUCAGCUUGACACAGCUUGACUUGGCUUGGCUCAGCAUGUCUUGAAACCUCAUGCUACCUAGAUAGGCACAGCUUAGCUCAGCAGAGCUUGGCAUGGCUCAGCAUGACUCAGCUCAGCACGGCUUAGGACAUCACAUCAUGUCGCCUAGGUAGGCACAGCUCAGCUUGACUCAGCUCAGUUCAGCUCAGCUUGGCUUGGCUCAACACAGCGCAGCCUGGCACAGUUCAGCUUGUCUCAGUCCAGCAUGGCUCAACUUGGUUCAGCAUGGCUCGAGAUGUUGUGGCACCUACAGCAGAGUUCAGCUCAACUCGGUUCAGCACAGCUCGGAACAUCAUGCCACCUAGCCCCAAGUCAAGCACCCAGAGGGCAGGAGAGACAAAUGACAUCUUGGGGCACGUCUGGGACACCUGCAGCUCUUAGUGUGGUAUCCGGCUGUUCCCAGAGCCACCCAGGAACGUCUCAGACACGCCGUGAGCUGGGGCAGGCUGGUGCUGCCCAGCACCUCCGAGGCCACUGGCAUGUCCAGCCUCGUGGGAGAGGGACAACCCUGGGCAGAGAUAGCCCAGAGGGAGAAGCUGCCCUGCCCGGUGGAGUUUUUCUUCAUUCCUUGAAAGCCACAGAGACCUGCUGUGCGGGAUUCAGGGCUGGAGGCAGGGCCAGGGCAGUGCUGAGGAGGAGCCGCCGUGAUGGAUGGCACGACACCAUUCCCAAAUGCCUCUACCAUGGGUGACAGUGCCCAGAGCACAGGGGGAUGCUCAGAAACGGUAUGGACCUGUGGGAAGCAUUGCAGCCAGCACCCAUUGUGGGGUUUAA